GGAGGGGAAAAGCAGUAGAGGAGGUGGGAGAGGAGGAGGGCAAAAAGAGAGGGGAGAGGCGGGGCAUAAGUGGAAAGGUAGGACAACGAGGAGAUGAGAGGAGAAAAGAGGAGAGGUAUAUGGCUUGGAUAUAGCUAUGUUCUGCUCCAAGCAAGAUGCCUACUUGACUUCAUGUAAGUAGAAUCUCUGCUAUAGGGGUAUUGUUCUCUGCAGGUCAAAGGUCAGUGAUAAAAGCUACAAACUCUCAGAACUCAAAUUAUUAAUUGCAUAAAACUCACAGUGUCUUACUCUCUAGGGCCCUGUAUUGCCACUGAAUCAACAUAUUCAUCAUUGCUACUUCACUGAAGUUUUUCAAAACAUUCCAUUUAUUCUGAAUUUCCAUUCAAUUAAUUUUUCCUCCUUCCAUCUGCUCUGGUAAUUGGGCAGGGUGAUAAGAAAGAAAUAAACGGUUCGAAUAUUUACUAUGCAUUACAAAAUUCUCCGGCCGCAUUUCCCGCUUUUCUUUAAUUUCUGAGAGGCUUCCACCCUAAUGGUCUGCAGUGUCAAUGGAGCUAGAAUAAUCAGAGCUGAUUGCACAAAGCCAAGGUCGUUUCACUGCCCACUGGGCAAAAACUAACUGUAGGGGUGCUGGGGUGUUGUCCAGAGCCAAAGAGCAUUGCAAACUGAUCUCUGAAGUAAGGAGAGAAGUGACAGCACCUUUGACUGUGGCAGCAAAUGCCACACCCAUCACCCGUCUCUCUUUGGGAAACCUUGUUUUUUUUGUUUUUCUUGUUUUGUUUUGUUUUGUUUUUGUUUUUGUUUUGUUUUGUUUUGUUUUGUUUUGUUUUUAGGUACUUAUUUCAUUUACAUUUCCAAUGCUAUCCCAAAAGUAACCCACCCACUUCC
rnacentral:lncRNA from 1 species